AUGCAGUUUGCUGAUCCAACAUUCCAAGAAACUGUUUUAACAUGGUAUGAAGAAGCAGAAAGGGAUCUGAGUGAAGUGGGAUCGGAUUGGGACAAAAAUUUUGUAAUGGACAAUGAGGAACCACCCAUCACCACUAAUUUUGACAUCAGCAACGAUGAAGCUCCUGAUGAAAGGGAUGACCAGAAUCCUCCAGAAUCCUAUCAAUUUCAUCUAUUAGCAAAAAUGUGGCUAAAUAUUCUGUCCAUAUUUGUAGUUCUCAAAGGAGUCCAAUCUCAAGUCCAGUUGGUGGAGUCUGGAGGGGAUGUGAGAAGACCUGGGGAGUCCCUCCGUCUCUCCUGCCAAGCCUCUGGAUUCACCUUCAGCAGCUCCUGGAUGGUCUGGGUGAGACAGCCUCCUGGGAAAGGAUUGGAAUGGGUGUCCUUCAUAGACACAGCUUCUACCACCUACUACUCUGACAAAGUGAAGGGACGCUUCACCAUCUCCAGGGACAAUGCCAAAAGCCAGCUGUAUCUGCAAAUGAACAGCCUCAAAACCGAAGACACAGGAGUCUAUUACUGUGCAAGAUACACAGUGAGAGGAAGUGAA